CAAAGAAUAGUUUAUAAAAAUAUUAAUUUUGGAGAUUAAUGAUAGAAGUAACUUCUUUCUUUGA
rnacentral:tRNA from 1 species